GUGGGGAAUCUUAGACAAUGGGCGCAAGCCUGAUCUAGCCAUGCCGCGUGAGCGAUGAAGGCCUUAGGGUUGUAAAGCUCUUUCAGGGGGGAAGAUAAUGACGGUACCCCCAGAAGAAGCCCCGGCUAGCUCCGUGCCAGCAGCCGCGGUAAUACGGAGGGGGCUAGCGUUGUUCGGAAUUACUGGGCGUAAAGCGCACGUAGGCGGACCGGAAAGUCAGGGGUGAAAUCCCGGGGCUCAACCCCGGAACUGCCUUUGAAACUCCUGGUCUUGAGGUCGAGAGAGGUGAGUGGAAUUCCGAGUGUAGAGGUGAAAUUCGUAGAUAUUCGGAGGAACACCAGUGGCGAAGGCGGCUCACUGGCUCGAUACUGACGCUGAGGUGCGAAAGCGUGGGGAGCAAACAGGAUUAGAUACCCUAGUAGUCC
rnacentral:rRNA from 1 species